rnacentral:rRNA from 1 species
GAUGAACGCUGGCGGCGUGCCUAAUACAUGCAAGUCGAGCGAACAGAUAAGGAUCUUGCUCCUUUGACGUUAGCGGCGGACGUGUGAGUAACACGUGGGUACCCUACCUAUAAUACUGGGAUAACUUCGGGAAACCGGAGCUAAUACCGGAUAACAUUCGGAACCGCAUGGUUCUAAAGUGAAAGAUGGUUUUGCUAUCACUUAUAGAUGGACCCGCGCCUUAUUAGCUAGUUGGUAAGGUAACGGCUUUCCAAGGCGACGAUACGUAGCCGAGCUGAGAGGGGGAUCGGCCACCCUGGAGCGGAGCCAGGGACAAGACUCCUACGGGAGGCAGCAGUAGGGAAUCUUCCGCAAUGGGGGAAAGCAUGACGGAGCAACGCGGAGUGAGUGAUGACGGGUUUCGGCUCGGAAAACUCUGUUAUUAGGGAAGAACAACCGUGUCAGUAACUGUGCACGUCUUGACGGUAACUAAUAAGAAAGCCACGGCUAACUACGUG